rnacentral:rRNA from 1 species
GACUUCAGGAAGGGGUGUAUUUAUUAGAUAAAAAACCAACGCCCUUCGGGGCUCCUUGGUGAAUCAUAAUAACUUAACGAAUCGCAUGGCCUUGCGCCGGCGAUGGUUCAUUCAAAUUUCUGCCCUAUCAACUUUCGAUGGUAGGAUAGUGGCCUACCAUGGUGGCAACGGGUAACGGGGAAUUAGGGUUCGAUUCCGGAGAGGGAGCCUGAGAAACGGCUACCACAUCCAAGGAAGGCAGCAGGCGCGCAAAUUACCCAAUCCCGAUACGGGGAGGUAGUGACAAUAAAUACUGAUACGGGGCUCUUUUGGGUCUCGUAAUUGGAAUGAGAACAAUUUAAAUCCCUUAACGAGGAACAAUUGGAGGGCAAGUCUGGUGCCAGCAGCCGCGGUAAUUCCAGCUCCAAUAGCGUAUAUUAAAGUUGUUGCAGUUAAAAAGCUCGUAGUUGAACCUUGGGUCUGGCUGGCCGGUCCGCCUCACCGCGAGUACUGGUCCGGCUGGACCUUUCCUUCUGGGGAACCUCAUGGCCUUCACUGGCUGUGGGGGGAACCAGGACUUUUACUGUGAAAAAAUUAGAGUGUUCAAAGCAGGCCUUUGCUCGAAUACAUUAGCAUGGAAUAAUAGAAUAGGACGUGUGGUUCUAUUUUGUUGGUUUCUAGGACCGCCGUAAUGAUUAAUAGGGAUAGU